rnacentral:misc_RNA from 1 species
GACAUAGUGGCAUUCGAAAUUGACGGUUCUCACGAAACGGCGAUAGAACCGGGAAUUCGCAUGCUCAACUUCUCGGAGGCAUCACAUAGUGACUGGGAACCAGCGAAAUUCACAUCCGAAUUUUUUGUAUAUGGAUACCCGCGUGAAGGCAACUUCGUUGAGUACGAGACUCAUCAAGUUUUAGCGCUGAAAGCAAUGAUGGUUGGGCGUUAUAAAUGCGCGGGAUUCGAACCUAGCUUUCAUGAACUUUCAAUAGCCAAUCACCUUAACUUGCAGACGUUUAGCGGAAUGAGUGGAGCUCCGGUGUUCUGCGCCUGGAGAAGGUUUGGAAUGCCUAC